AACUGAACAUGUGACAGAUAUAUAGAUAUAUACUGUAGAUAUACCCCCAGUUUUUCAUUCUUCAAAGAUCUGUUUUGUUUGUUUGUUUGAGUCAUAGAGGUUUGGUAAAAAAUAACAAUGGUGCUUUUUGUCAUUUUGAAGCUUGACUGACCCAAUCCCCUUUCAAAAUAUUGCCUUUUGUGUGCCACAGAAGAGAGAAAAUCUCAGAGGAACAACAUGAGUCACAUGGAUUUGCUUAAUCAGAUAAAGUCAUUCCUCCUGAUAACAUCACAUCUGGAGGAGUCCUGACUGAACUGCCAGCCGACACUGAAUUGUGAGGCCAGCCAGCUAAAAUGAGCCUCUAGAUUUGAUCUUAUACACACCCAGCCUUUGAAGAGAUUAUGAGCACAUGGACACCAAUAUUCCUGUUCCUCAACUAGAUGUGUUUCUGUAGAAAAGACACACACUGAACACCAAAUGUCAUCAAGUUGGACUGAAUCUAGAAAGCAACACAUCAGCAGUAAAGAUUUGAACUGAAUUUUGCACGUGAAGCUGAAAGACCAGCAGAUAAGGGUACCCAAGGUGUUCCGUGCUGCAGCCAGAGGCACAUCAGGAAGUUGGAUGAGAGGUGAUUACACUGUGCCUCCUGUGAACUUUUGAAUUAUCCAGACUUUAGAACAUCUAGAAAAACUAAGAUCUCUUUCAAUAUGUUUCGGCAUCAAAUGUAUUACCCUUCAGC
ensembl:lncRNA